CUCCCGACCUUGUGAUCCACCCGCCUCGGCCUCCCAAAGUGCUGGGAUUACAGGCAUGAGCAACAAUGCCCAGCCAAAAAGCUUUAAGCCACUGAGUU